GUUCCAGACCAUAUGAGUAUUUGGACCGUACGCGUACGGUCCGGACCGUAUACGUAUACUCGUACGGUCCGACCAUACGCGUACGGUCGGACCGUAUGAGUAUACGCGUAUGGUCCAGUACGAGCUGACCAUACAUGUUAUUAGAUCAUAUGGGUUAAAUUUAAAAAAAUUAACAUUAAUCACAAUCUUUAUUUUCAGAUUUACUAAUUUAAUAUUAUUACAACUACACGGAUAAAAUGAACAAAUGAACAAUUGAAAUUAAAUAUUUGUUUAAUUGUAUAUCUUGAUCCUAAUUUUGGU
rnacentral:lncRNA from 1 species